ACUCGGCUAGGCGAGUAUAAAUAGCCGUCAGGCCUAGCGCGUCCAAGCCUAGCCCCUUCUGGGGCUGGGCGAAGGGUCGGG
rnacentral:ribozyme from 1 species